GGACGACCGCUGGCGGCGUGCUUAACACAUGCAAGUCGAACGGAAAGGCCCUGCUUUUGUGGGGUGCUCGAGUGGCGAACGGGUGAGUAACACGUGAGUAACCUGCCCUUGACUUUGGGAUAACUUCAGGAAACUGGGGCUAAUACCGGAAAGGAGCUCCUGCUGCAUGGGGGGGGUUGGAAAGUUUCGGCGGUUGGGGAUGGACUCGCGGCUUAUCGGCUUGUUGGUGGGGUAGUGGCUUACCAAGGCUUUGACGGGUAGCCGGCCUGAGAGGGUGACCGGCCACAUUGGGACUGAGAUACGGCGCAGACUCGUACGGGAGGCAGCAGUGGGGAAUAUUGCACAAUGGGCGGAAGCCUGAUGCAGCAACGCCGCGUGCGGGAUGACGGCCUUCGGGUUGUAAACCGCUUUCGCCUGUGACGAAGCGUGAGUGACGGUAAUGGGUAAAGAAGCACCGGCUAACUACGUG
rnacentral:rRNA from 1 species